UACGGAGGGGGCUAGCGUUGUUCGGAAUUAUUGGGCGUAAAGGGCGCGUAGGCGGCCUUGCAAGUGACGGGUGAAAUCCCUCGGCUUAACCGAGGAACUGCCUGUCAGACUGCAUGGCUUGAGACCGGGAGAGGUGAGUGGAAUUCCCAGUGUAGCGGUGAAAUGCGUAGAUAUUGGGAGGAACACCAGUGGCGAAGGCGGCUCACUGGACCGGUACUGACGCUGAGGCGCGAAAGCGUGGGGAGCAAACAGG
rnacentral:rRNA from 1 species